AUUGAACGCUGGCGGCAGGCCUAACACAUGCAAGUCGAACGAGUGGCGGACGGGUGAGUAAUGUCUGGGAAACUGCCUGAUGGAGGGGGAUAACUACUGGAAACGGUAGCUAUUACCGCAUACCAUCGGAUGUGCCCAGAUUGGAUUAGCGAGUAGGUGGGGUAACGGCUCACCUAGGCGACGAUCCCUAGCGGGUCUGAGAGGAUGACAGGGCGACCUGCAACUGAGGCACGGUCCGAACGCCUAGGGGAGGCAGCGGUGGGGAAUAUGGGGAUAUGGGAGCAGGCCUGAAACAGCGAUGCCGCGUGGAUGAGGAAGGCAUUCGGGUUGUAGAGUACUAUCAACGGGGAGGCGUUACCCGGAGAAGAAGCACCGGCUAACUCCGUGCCAGCAGCCGCGGUAAUAC
rnacentral:rRNA from 1 species